GACGGGGGGGGCAAGUGUUCUUCGGAAUUAUUGGGCGUAAAGAGCUCGUAGGCGGUUUGUCGCGUCUGCCGUGAAAGUCCGGGGCUCAACUCCGGAUCUGCGGUGGGUACGGGCAGACUAGAGUGAUGUAGGGGAGACUGGAAUUCCUGGUGUAGCGGUGAAAUGCGCAGAUAUCAGGAGGAACACCGAUGGCGAAGGCAGGUCUCUGGGCAUUAACUGACGCUGAGGAGCGAAAGCAUGGGGAGCGAACAGG
rnacentral:rRNA from 1 species